CUAGAAGAAGCCUCUAAAAAAUGAAGAAAGAAGCCUCUAAAAACGCUUGGAAGAAAUUGCGCUGCAAAGGGUUUUUGAACGAUUAGAACACUGUUUAAUAUAACUUUAGGUAAGGAUUCUCAAUGUAUCUCGAGCUUACAGCUUCUCUAGUCAAGUUUGCUUACAGUGAAGAUGUUUUGGUAGAACUCGUCAAAUAUUUGAUUCCUGCUUAUCACGAUAUUGACACCAUAUGCCCCAUUUUAAUUGAAGCACGCAAAACCACAUUAAAAUCUGGGAUAAGUUUCAGCCUAGUUGUCAACAUCUUACUGAAUGGAAUCUAGUCCAUGAUAUCGUGUGCUAAACUGCACUUAUCAUGUAUCUCACCUACAAUUCGCCCUGCUACAUGGUUUUCUAUGGUAAAUACUUACCCACAUUUUCAUGUGGCUAGAUUUUCUUCAAUAUUGUCGAAGAAGUUCUGGACUUUGCAACCAAAAGGAUAAAGGGGUUUUUUCAAGUGCGGUGAGCGAAAUAACACAUACGUUUCGAAUUAUAGGUUUGCGUGGGUUCAGCUAAACAAUUCUCAACCUUAUAGCAUAAAAAAAUGGAUGGAAUUGAGACGAAAAAUUCUUAUGUCUCACCAUUUUGUUGGAGCUGUCUUUAGGAUAUUUUGGAUUAAGUCUCUAAUCUUUGCUUUCUAUAUUUGCGAUUCUCCGUGACCUACUGUUUUUGGCAUUCAAAAUCCAUCCUUGGUUUCUUUGGGGUGCUAAUCUCAGCAUGAAUCUUCCAUAAGGUUGGCAUCAUUUUCUCAUCACGUGCCCUUUGGUCUAGCUCGUAUUUUGAACUUAUCUGCAACAAGGGAAACACAAAGGCAAGAUGGCUUCGAUUGUGGCAUGCACGGCUAUCAAUUCAACAGACUGCAUGAGUUCUGAAGACGAGACUGAUUUGUUUCAUUCUCGUUGGAUUGGGAUUCGACGAUAGCAGAUUGUCAGAGAGAAAACACCGUUUUUCAUAUGAGAGAACGCACCAAUAUUGAGGAGUCUGAACGUGAGCAGAGGUUUGUUGGGUGUUGCAGAUUGUCAGCUCUUCUCUAACAUUACGAGGCAACAAAAAAUUAAUCUGCAUGGAAUGCAGGCUACAGAUACAGGUGGUAAGUUUUUCGGACAAUAGGGUGUUAUGUGCAUUGCAUGUAGUUGUUCAUGAAAACUUCUCACGGCAACUACGCCCGUUAGCACAGUAAUCAUAUAUCAUUCCUUGUAGAACCAGGUAGGAAUCCUUUAUUAUCGGCUUCAUCUUCCUGUGUAUGCUGUGUAGUAGAAGGAGAUAGGUCUUCUUUAUUGUCGAUCAUAUAUUCACCAAGCAACUCCAGGAUAUGAAUUCUGAUCUUGUAUAUCCGGCUGCCAGCUUCCCGCCUUACCUUAAAAGGAGAUAAGUUCUCUACUGCAGACUCACAGCGCCUCCCCAGUGCCAGCCUGAUUUUUCUCAAAACCCAGAGUAUAUUUCAAUGUAAAGUACGAUUUAAUUUUUAUGUAGGUUAGUUGUGGAUCACAAAUCGUUUUCUGAAAAUGAAUACCUAAAAAAGUAUAGCAAGUGCAAAUUAACAAUAGUAACUAAAGGGCAGCUUAAGAUAUCCAAGUUUAGAACACCUAAACUGCAUGGUACAGGCUUACUGAAUGUACCAAUUACAGAUCAUUUUUAACAAAAACACCCUGCCAACUUUGGCAGGAACUACGCUGCAUUGCAGCCCUUGUUUUUUUUGGGUAAGCAGCAACUCUAUCCUCUGCAAGUGUGCACCUUUGUUUUUCUAAUAAGAGCAUCAGCCUUGUUUUUUUAUUGAAUUCCAUUGUGCAAUUUCUCUGGGUUCAUAAUAGAAAGAGCUGAAACUAUGUUGAUCCAUUGUAACGCUGUUUGAACUUUUUUAAUAUUAUCUAUCUCUUGGUCUUUCUUCCUUCACCCAGUUAUUUCAUCCAUCAAAGACUACAGAUUUUUAAUGAUUGAUUGUGGGUUGUUGGAAGGCACCAGAUUUGUGUGCUCACAUUUUUCUUUUCCAGGUUCGAUUUCUUCUGACAAGGUUCCAUGCUUUAAUGUUUUCACAAGCAAAAUAAAAUAGAACAACUACGAAAUUGUAGAAUCUGAAACUACUC